CCUACGGGAGGCUGCAGUGAGGAAUAUUGGUCAAUGGGCGUAAGCCUGAACCAGCCAAGUCGCGUGAGGGAUGAAGGUUCUAUGGAUCGUAAACCUCUUUUAUAAGGGAAUAAAGUGCGGGACGUGUCCCGUUUUGUAUGUACCUUAUGAAUAAGGAUCGCCUAACUCCGUGCCAGCAGCCGCGGUAAUACGGAGGAUCCGAGCGUUAUCCGGAUUUAUUGGGUUUAAAGGGUGCGUAGGCGGCCUUUUAAGUCAGCGGUGAAAGUCUGUGGCUCAACCAGAGAAUUGCGGUUGAUACUGGGAGGCUGGAGUGUGUGUGAGGAAGGCGGAAUGCGUGGUGUAGCGGUGAAAUGCUUAGAUAUCACGCAGAACCCCGAUUGCGAAGGCAGCCGGCCAAGCCAUGACUGACGCUGAUGCACGAAAGCGUGGGGAUCAAACAGGAUUAGAUACCCCUGUAGUC
rnacentral:rRNA from 1 species